AUUUCGUAAUUAGAAUGGCACUGAGAAAAUGUCUAUUUGAUGUCGAUUCACUCUUUGUUGACAAAAUAAAAUUAGGACUGCCAAAAGCUCAGAUAGAUAUAAUCAUAUAAAAAUCUUCUCAAUUUUAGGAGAAGAAAAUUAUUUAAAUUGAUCACUUAUUGCAGCCUCAAUCAUGAUUCAUGAACCAUAGCCAUACAUACAGCAGAUGCAUAUAAAGGCUUUCACUCACACCAUGGCAGUUCCCUACACCUCAAAAACAAAGGAGGGGAUUGGAAAUGUUCAGUUAAUAACCAA
rnacentral:misc_RNA from 1 species